rnacentral:rRNA from 1 species
UACAGAGGUCUCAAGCGUUGUCCGGAAUCAUUGGGCGUAAAGGGCGCGUAGGUGGCCCGGUCAGUCCGUGGUGAAAGCGCGGGGCUCAACCCCGCGUCGGCCAUGGAUACUGCUGGGCUUGAGCACUGUAGAGGCAGGCGGAAUUCCGGGUGUAGCGGUGGAAUGCGUAGAGAUCCGGAAGAACACCGGUGGCGAAGGCGGCCUGCUGGGCAGUGGCUGACACUGAGGCGCGAAAGCGUGGGGAGCGAACAGG